ACUGACUCCUUCAUCAAAGGGCUUUGUCUGGUAAGAGUACCCCAUUUGGCCCAUCACUGGAGAGCAGAUGGGACAGCAAAAAAAAAGAGGCUCCACUCACCAUCAAGGAGCAGCGGGAAUACAAAUGUUUUUCCACCAGAAUUUUAGGCCUGAACAGAACAGAGGGCGGUCUGGCCCUCCUAGUGACCCUAGUGUACCCCGUCUGACUAAACAAUGAUGCUGGGUCACCUCCUCAUGGCCCAAGACAGAUGGCUGGCUCCUCUCUGCGGUUUCCACCAUGGCCAAGGUCACCUCCCCUGCUCUCGGUGCACCUGCACCCCAACACUCCCAUCAUCAUCUUUACUCCUGCUACACCUAGCACACACCACUGCACAAACCCUUCCCCCAACUCACCCCUCCCAUGUAAACAGAGGGGAAAAUGAACCAUUUAGAUUCUGCUGGUGUGUGUUACACCAUGCUGAGGACUACAUCCAACCUGCAAGAACACACCUGUAGUACAAACAAAGUGCAAAUACAAAACCUC